GCGCAAAGUACUCAAAAAGAAAGGGAUCUGACUUCGGAUCAGAGGGUUGGCGGUUCGAGUCCGUCCGAGCGCACCA
rnacentral:tRNA from 1 species